ensembl:lncRNA
GUCUCCAACAAUAAUCAUAGGCCUCAGGAUCUCUUCAACUCUCUUAACUCUCUGAUAAACACCAGUAGCGCAGCUUGUAUUGUUUCAAGUUUUUAAAUGUGCUUUAUAAAUAAAGUUGACAUUGACACUGAGUACUAGUGACAAUACUAGUGACAAUACUAGUGACGGUAACAGUGACGGUACUAGGGACGGUACUAGUGACAAUACUAGCGACAGUACUAGCGAUGGUUGGAGAAGAGCCUGAGAAAAGAGGUUGGGCUUUCGUGGAAAUGCCAUGUGAGGAACUGUGUCAAAGUGGCUGCAUGACAGAACAUACAUCCUUGUGGUGCUCCUGUUCAAAGGGAUGCACAGUCAGAAAAAGGCAAAGUAACUUUUAUGAGUGGGGUCAUGAGGGUGUUACGUGUGGUUGUUAAGGAAGGGGUGAUAAGUGUGGUUAUUAAGAAGGUGAGGGAGGGUUAAUUGUGUUCAUAAAGAAGGUGGGUGUGUGUUGAGUGUGUUUAUAAAGGAGGUGGGGAGGUGUUAAGUGUGUUCAUAAAAGAUGUGGGGUGUUAAGUGUGUUAUAAAGGAGGUGGAGGGUGUUAAGUGUGUUUAUAAAGGAGGUGGCGGGGUGUUAAGUGUGCUUAUAAAGGAGGUGGGAGGGUGUUACGUGUGUUUAUAAAGGAAGUGGGGGGUGUUAAGUGUGUUUAUAAAGGAGGUGGGGGGUGUUAAGUGUGUUUAUAAAGGAGGUGGGGAGGAUUUAAGUGUGUUAUAAAGGAGGUGGGAGGGUGUUAAGUGUGUUUAUAAAGGAGGUGGGGGGGUGUUAAGUGUGUUUAUAAAGAAGGUGGGAGGGUGUUAAGUGUGUUUGUAAAGGAGGUGGGGGGUGUUACGUGUGUUUAUAAAGGAGGUGGGAGGGUGUUAAGUGUGGUUAUAAAGGAAGGGGUGUUAAGUGUGUUUAUAGAGGAGGUGAGGGGUGUUAAGUGUGUUUAUAAAGGAGGUGGGGGUGUUAAGUGUGUUUAUAAAGGUUGUGGGGGGUUAAGUGUGUUUAUAAAAGAGGUGGGGGGGUUAAGUGUGUUCAUAAAGGAGGUGGGGGAUGAUUAAAUGUGUUUACACAGUUUGUUUGCAAAAGUUUGAAUGCUACAUUUUGAAUGUUACAAUUAAACAGUUUAAGAGUAUGGUUUAAAUAUGACAGUUUACAGUAUGACUGUACAGUUUGCAACAGUUAAAAUGUUACUGUUUAAAU